ACACACAGUUCUGAAAGCCUCAUUUCCCAAGAAAAUAAAAGCUCUCAAACCCUCAAAUAUCAGCACAACCAGAUAUACCCAUGGCAUUCUUGGGUAGUAGUAGAGCUGCCGGCCGUCUCAUGGUGCUCCUCCAGAUGGCUCUCUUCGUCAUCGUCUCGGCGCUCAUCAUGAACAGCUCCUUGUGCCUUGCAGCGGCCGGCCAGGACGACAUUGCAGGCUCUGGGUCUCGGUGUAUCGGACAGAAAUGCUCUGGGGGAACUCAUUGCUGCCGUGGUGUACCACUGGUUGGUGACCGACCCUAAUUAGCAAUAGAUUAGAGGUGGGCGUGCGGCAAGCCGUGUGACACAUGUCUUUCUUUCCGUAUGAAUAAAUGGUUGAAUAAAGUGUUUUGUCUAUA